AUGAACGCUGGCGGCGUGCCUAAUACAUGCAAGUCGAGCGAACAGACGAGGAGCUUGCUCCUCUGACGUUAGCGGCGGACGGGUGAGUAACACGUGGAUAACCUACCUAUAAGACUGGGAUAACUUCGGGAAACCGGAGCUAAUACCGGAUAAUAUAUUGAACCGCAUGGUUCAAUAGUGAAAGACGGUUUUGCUGUCACUUAUAGAUGGAUCCGCGCCGCAUUAGCUAGUUGGUAAGGUAACGGCUUACCAAGGCAACGAUGCGUAGCCGACCUGAGAGGGUGAUCGGCCACACUGGAACUGAGACACGGUCCAGACUCCUACGGGAGGCAGCAGUAGGGAAUCUUCCGCAAUGGGCGAAAGCCUGACGGAGCAACGCCGCGUGAGUGAUGAAGGUCUUCGGAUCUUAAAACUCUGUUAUUAGGGAAGAACAAAUGUGUAAGUAACUAUGCACGUCUUGACGGUACCUAAUCAGAAAGCCACGGCUAACUACGUG
rnacentral:rRNA from 1 species